UUGAACCUGAGAGUUUGAUCCUGGCUCAGAACGAACGCUG
rnacentral:rRNA from 1 species